GAAGUAUCAGGGUAAAAGGAGCUGCUAACUCCCUUUUAGAGCAGUUUAAUUCUGUUCAUACUUUU
rnacentral:tRNA from 1 species